CGGACGGGUGAGUAACGCGUGGGUAACCUGCCUCAUACAGGGGGAUAACAGUUAGAAAUGACUGCUAAUACCGCAUAAGACCACAGCACCGCAUGGUGCAGGGGCAAAAACUCCGGUGGUAUGAGAUGGACCCGCGUCUGAUUAGGUAGUUGGUGGGGUAACGGCCUACCAAGCCGACGAUCAGUAGCCGACCUGAGAGGGUGACCGGCCAUAUUGGGACUGAGACACGGCCCAA
rnacentral:rRNA from 1 species